rnacentral:lncRNA from 1 species
UGGUGCAGAAGGUACAUGAACUUCAAUGCUUAGUGGUGGAGGAGCAUUAUUUGGUGGCAUAGGCGGUACAUGGCCUUCAACACUUGCAGGUGGAGGAGAAUUAGUUGGUGGCAUAGAUGGUACAUGACCUUCAACAUUUGGUGGUGGAGGAGCAUUAUUUGGUGGUGCAGUAGGUGCAUGAACUUCAAUGCUUAAUGGUGGAGGAACAUUAAUUGGUGGUGUGGGCGGUACAUGACCUUCAACACUUGGUGGUGGACGAGAAUUAGCUGGUGGCAGAGAUGGUACAUGACCUUCAACACUUGGUAGUGGAGGAGCAUCUUUUGGUGGCACCGACGGUGCUUGACUUUCAACACUUGGUGGUGGAGGAGAAGCAUCUUUUGGUGGCAAAGACGGUACUUGACUUUCAACACUUGGUGGUGCAGGAGCAUUAUUUGGUGGCUCUGACGGUACAUGUUCAGUACUUGGUGGUGGAGAAGCAGUUUUUGGUGGCAUAGGCGGUACAUGGCCUUCAACACUUGGUGGUGGAGGAGAAUUAGUCGGUGGCAUAGAUCGUACAUGGCCUUCAACACUUGGUGGCGGAGGAUCAUUAUUUGGUGGUGCAGUAGGUACAUGAACUUCAAUGCUUAGUGGUGGAGGAACUUUAAUUGGUGGCGUAGGCGGUACACGACCUUCAACACUUGGUGAUGGAGGAGAAUUAGCUGGUGGCAAAGAUGGUACAUGACCUUCAACACUUGGUAGUGGAGGAGCAUCUUUUGGUGGCACCGACGGUGCUUGACUUUCAACACUUGGUGGUGGAGGAGAAGCAUCUUUUGGUCGCAAAGGCGGUACUUGACUUUCAACACUUGGUGGUGGAGGAGCAUUAUUUGGUGGCUCUGACGGUACAUGUUCAGUACUUAGUGGUGGAGAAGCAGUUUUUGGUGGCAUAGGCGGUACAUGGCCUUCAACACUUGCAGGUGGAGGAGAAUUAGUUGGUGGCAUAGAUGGUACAUGACCUUCAACACUUGGUGGCGGAGGAGCGUUAUUUGGUGGUGUAGUAGGUACAUGAACUUCAAUGCUUAGUGGUGGAGGAACAUUAAUUGGUGGCGUAGGCGGUACACGACCUUCAACACUUGGUGAUGGAGGAGAAUUAGCUGGUGGCAAAGAUGGUACAUAACCUUCAACACUUGGUAGUGG